rnacentral:lncRNA from 12 species
CCUGGCAUCCCGGCCGCUGGGCGCGGCGGCGCGCAUGCGCAGCCCCUCGGGCCGGCCCCGGCGCACCUUUUCUCCCCGCUGCCACAAUGUGAGCGCCCCGCCGCCCAGAUAACCGCCGACUCCCGCUCCACCCCCGCCCUCCCCCACUCCGCCCACUGCCGAGCGCCCAGGACCCUAGGACUUGCCCUUGUGUAUCUGAAGCUUUGGUGACCAGUACUUUGGAAGGCCUUGGGCCACAGGGCUGGUCUCGAUUUCUUCAGCUGGAAAAUGGAUCUAGAGACAAGCAGCACAGGAACAGGAGCUGCAGUGGCUUCAAACCUCAUAGUAUCCCCCCACCACCACCCCAUCCAUGGCCCUGCUCUUCACUCUCAAGUGAAUUCCCAGAGGGCGGCCGACAAGCAAGAGGGUGGAAUUUGCAGUGUCUGUCUCGUCUGGGUGAGACAGUUGGAAGACGUUUCUACCAAUUAUAGUGGUUAAACACUGACUCAACAGCCAACAACCUCAUGAGGUGUCAGAGCCUUCAUUCAUGGACAAGUUUCAAAAUGAG